rnacentral:precursor_RNA from 8 species
UGCUGCCCUUGUCGUCAUGCGCGGCUCCGUUGGGUUGGUGGGACCUCCAGCGUCAGUUGACCAGAACUCUGCAGGUUCACAUCAGCCCCAUGGGGUCGCUGCCUUUUCAUCACCAUGGCGA